rnacentral:rRNA from 1 species
UCAAAUUACCCCCGUAACUUCGGGAGAAGGGGGGCCACAGACUGUCAUACCCCACGCGGGUGGCAGCAGUAGGUGGCCGCAGAGACCAGGGGGAAGCGACUGUUUACUAAAAACACAGGUCCGUGCGAAGUCGUAGGACGAUGUAUACGGACUGACGCCUGCCCGGUGCUGGAACGUUAAGGGGACCGGUUAGUCCGCAAGGGCGAAGCUGAGAACUUAAGCGCCAGUAAACGGCGGUGGUAACUAUAACCAUCCUAAGGUAGCGAAAUUCCUUGUCGGGUAAGUUCCGACCUGCACGAAUGGCGUAACGACUUCCCUACUGUCUCAACCACAGGCCCGGCGAAAUUGCACUACGAGUAAAGAUGCUCGUUACGCGCGGAAGGACGGAAAGACCCCGGGACCUUCACUAUAGCUUGACAUUGGUAUCCGAAUUUAAUUGUGUAGGAUAGGUGGGAGGCUUUGAUCCGCGGACGCCAGUCCGUCGGGGAGCCAACGUUGAAAUACCACUCUGUUGACUUUGGGUAUCUAACUUCGGACCGUGAUCCGGUUCAGGGACAGUGUCUGGUGGGUAGUUUAACUGGGGCGGUUGCCUCCUAAAAUGUAACGGAGGCGCCCAAAGGUUCCCUCAGCCUGGUUGGCAAUCAGGUGUUGAGUGCAAGUGCACAAGGGAGCUUGACUGUGAGACUGACAGGUCGAGCAGGGACGAAAGUCGGGACUAGUGAUCCGGCACCUGCGAGUGGAAGCGGUGUCGCUCAACGGAUAAAAGGUACCCCGGGGAUAACAGGCUGAUCUUCCCCAAGAGUCCAUAUCGACGGGAUGGUUUGGCACCUCGAUGUCGGCUCGUCGCAUCCUGGGGCUGGAGUAGGUCCCAAGGGUUGGGCUGUUCGCCCAUUAAAGCGGCACGCGAGCUGGGUUUAGAACGUCGUGAGACAGUUCGGUCCCUAUCCUCCGCGCGCGUAGGAGACUUGAGAAGAGCUGUCCCUAGUACGAGAGGACCGGGACGGACGAACCUCUGGUGUGCCAGUUGUCAUGCCAAUGGCACGGCUGGUUAGCUACGUUCGGAAGGGAUAACCGCUGAAAGCAUCUAAGCGGGAAGCUCGCUUCAAGAUGAGGUCUCCCACCCCUUAGAGGGUUAAGGCCCCCAGCUAGACCACUGGGUUGAUAGGCCAGAAGUGUAAGCCUGGUAACAGGUUCAGCCGACUGGUACUAAUAGGCCGAGGACUUCU